rnacentral:rRNA from 1 species
UACGGAGGUGGCGAGCGUUGUCCGAAGUUACUGGGCGUAAAGCGCGCGUAGGCGGGGGGAUUAAGUGAGAAGUGAAAGGCUGGGGCUCAACUCCAUGCAGUGCUUCUCAUACUGGUCUUCUUGAGGGGGGUAGAGAGAAGUGGAAUUCCUGGUGUAGCGGUGAAAUGCGUAGAUAUCAGGAGGAACACCGGUGGUGUAGACGGCUAUCUGGACCGUAACUGACGCUGAGGCACGAAAGCGUGGGUAGCAAACAGG